rnacentral:rRNA from 1 species
AUGAAGGUCGAGAGACGGCGACGUGCAGGUCAAGGCUGGUCGGUGGCGAUGAAGAGGAAGGCGUCGGUGGACAUGGUUGGAUCCAGCGACCCCAGCCUCCUGAAAGGUUGGGGCGAUGGGGGCUCAGGCAAUCUCAUGAGCGAGAGGGGCUGGGAGCUACCUUAUCCACCAGCCCUGAUUGUCGUCGCCAGUGGGGAAGGAGCAGGGUGUAGCGGAGAGGAUGGGGCUGUGGUGGAGCCGAUCAACCAAAGGGGAAGAGUAGAGGGCAGGCGAUCGCGAGGUUUGGGAAAGAGAGAUCGUCUGUGGGCCGGGGAUGCACCGAUCGAGGGAUCGUUCUUAAAUUCUGUUAUUUUUUCCUUAGAAUUCGCCAUUUUAUUUCCUAAAGCAAAUUGCAUUGAUGGGAAAAAUCAGUUGAUUUAG